rnacentral:rRNA from 1 species
AACGAACGCUGGCGGCAUGCCUAACACAUGCAAGUCGAACGAGACCUUCGGGUCUUGUGGCGCUCGGCUGGGUAACGCGUGGGAACUUGCCCUUAGGUUCGGUAUAACUCCCCGUGAGGGAUCCUAAUACCAGUUAAUGUAUUCCGACCAAAGAUUUCUUGCCUUUGGGUGGGCGCUCGUUGGUUUGGCGAGUUGGUAGGGUAAUAGCCUGUCAUGGCGACGAUCCAUAGCUGGUCUGAGAGGAGGACCAGCCGGACUGGAACUGAGACACGGACCAGACUCGUACGGGAGGCAGGAGAGGGGAGUAUUAGACAAUGGGCGAAAGCCUGAUACAGCAAUGCGGGGUGAGUGAUGAAGGCCUUAGGGUUGUAAAGCUCUUUUACCCGGGAUGAUAAUGACAGUACCGGGAGAAUAAGCUCCGGCUAACUACGUG